UUAACUUCAGAAAGUUAAGAGUUUUUAGAUGCCCCAUUAACUCUUGCAGAGUUACAUAAGGCCUUAAACGAUAUGCCAACAGGAAGAGCUCCAGGCAAUGAUGGCUUUUCCACUGCAUUGUAUAAAAAUUUCUGGUGUAUACAACAAGCACUAUUUUUCAGAAUGGUGAUAGAGAUAAAAGAUAAAGGCCCACUCUUCCAGCUAAUUACCGACCGCUGUCACUAAUUAAUACGGACAUCAAAAUCAUAUCUGAGGCUUUAGCCAACAGACUAGAAAAAAUUCUCCCGUCAUUAAUACAGUCUGACCAAACAGAUUUCAUUCAAGGACGGAGCUCCACCAACAAUGUCAGGUGACUGAUAAACUGAAUAAGUAUGUCUCAGCGUAACCUAAUAUCUAUUGUUUUGUCACGAGACGCAGAAAAAGCUUUUGACAAAGUUAACCGCUCUUUUCUUUAUGAUGUACUUCUCAAAUUUGGCUUUGGUGACUCAUAUAGUCACUGGAUCGCAACGUUGUACAACUCACCCAAAGCAACUGUCAACACAAAUUGGGGUCACAUCACAAAGUUUCACAGAGUCGUCUUUGCGAGAGACGCGUUUAUCAAGCCACAUACAAGGACAAUGCUCCAUGCCACACAGCGAGGUCAGUCAAGGUGUGAAUGAAGGACCACCAGAUCAAGACCCUGUAAUGGCCAGCCCGAAAUCCAUACCUGAACCUGAUUGAAAACCUCUGGAAUGUGUUCAAGAGGAAGAUGGAUGUCAUUAGACAUCAAACAAAGCUGAGCUGUUUGAAUUUUUCCACCAAGAGUUGCAAAAGGUCACCAAACAGCAAUGUGAAAGACUCAUGGAGAUCAUGCCAAGACACAUGAAAGCUGUGAUUAAAACUAAGGGUUAUUCGACUAAAUAUUGAUUUCCGAACUCUUCUUAAGUUAAGGCAUUAGUAU